rnacentral:lncRNA from 1 species
GAAAUUCGUAGAAAUUUAUCACCUAUUACUUCUAGUGUUGUUCCUUGUUGUUUUAAGUAUUUUUUUAAGCUGUUUUGGAGUGUUUCAAUGUGUUUUGACAUAAAAAAUCCGAAAAUUCAUAAAAAUUUGAAAAAUUGUUUUUGAAAAUCCAAAAAAAGAGUUGUUUUUGUGCGCUUAUUUGUGUCUUAGGGUACCUUCCAACACAAUGAUGAGGAUUCGGUUUGUAAUUGCAUGACUGUUAAAGAGAGUUAUAAACAUGGAUGAAAGUUUGAUUUACUCUUUAUUUAUGCGUGGUUGUGGUUAUAACUUAUGAAAUCACAUGUAAUCAUAAAAGAAAAAAUUAGUUUUUUUUGUAACAUGCUUGAAGGAAAGAACUCAAACUAACGCUACAACCUUGUGAGACUUGAGCUUAAACGUUUAUUUGGAGAGUUAAAAUCUGUGCAUUCUUGUUUUCUAAAGUCAUUGCAUGAUCUCAUUAUUCUUUGCUUGGCUAUUACUUAGAAGGCGUUUCAUCAUUUAGUUCCAAAUGCUAGAACUCAUGCCUAUUUCAUUCAAAGCAUGCUAUUGAUUUGCAUAAAACAUAUUCAAGAUGAAGUUGUGUAGUUACCACCACCAAAGCCAAACUGCCAUGUAUCCCAUAUCGUUAUAUGUUUAAGUUAACCCCAUUGAGCCUUGAUAGCCUACAUUCUUUGUUAAACCACAUUAUCCUUACCUAGCCUAGUUUAGGA